UCGAGAAUCUUCGGCAAUGGGGGAAACCCUGACCGAGUGACGCCGCGUGCGAGAUGAAGGCCUUCGGGUUGUAAAUCGCUGUCAGUGGGGAGGAAAUGCCGGUGGGUUCUCUCAUCGGUUUGACCUAUCCGCAGAGGAAGGACGGGCUAAGUUCGUGCCAGCAGCCGCGGUAAUACGGACUGUCCAAACGUUAUUCGGAAUCACUGGGCUUAAAGGGUGCGUAGGCGGUCCGGGAAGUUGGGUGUGAAAGCCCUCGGCUCAACCGAGGAAUUGCGCCCAAAACUGCCGGGCUGGAGGGAGACAUAGGUGAGCGGAACCUAGGGUGGAGCGGUGAAAUGCGUUGAGAUCCUAGGGAACACCAGUAGCGAAAGCGGCUCACUGGGUCUUUUCUGACGCUGAAGCACGAAAGCUAGGGGAGCGAAGA
rnacentral:rRNA from 1 species